GACGAACGCUGGCGGCGUGCUUAACACAUGCAAGUCGAACGGAAAGGCCUGUCCUUCCUUGUGUUGGACGGGUACUCGAGUGGCGAACGGGUGAGUAACACGUGAGUGAUCUGCCCCCAACUUGGGUAUAAGCCUGGGAAACUGGGUCUAAUUCCCGAUAGGACUGCAGGGUGGUGCCUGUGGUGGAAAACGAUUUUCUAGUGGUUGGGGAUGAGCUAGCGGCCUAUCAGCUUGUUGGUGGGGUAAUGGCCUACCAAGGCGGCGACGGGUAGCCGGCCUGAGAGGGUGGACGGCCACAUUGGGACUGAGAUACGGCCCAGACUCCUACGGGAGGCAGCAGUGGGGAAUAUUGCACAAUGGGCGGAAGCCUGAUGCAGCGACGCCGCGUGGGGGAUGACGGCCUUCGGGUUGUAAACUCCUUUCGACCGCGAGGAAGCCGCCUGGUUGGAAGGGUGGUGACGGUAGUGGUAGAAGAAGCACCGGCUAACUACGUG
rnacentral:rRNA from 1 species